CUAGGGAGAACAUUAUUGUAGCCAAAAGUCAAAGGAAACUUUUUUUGCAGCUCGAACCGUAAUUCUUUCCUGUUUCAACGCCACUGAGUGGAAAUGAUGACGAGGAAGAAAGAUUUCAUUGUUAGUGGAACGAACUGAAAAAAAAAAACAAAGGCCGGCCGGCGAGCGUGUUCAUGUGCCUUUAAUUUUAUAUCCGAGGCCACUUUGGGAAUGGAAGGUUGUUGACUGACUUUUCGAGAGAGCCGGAGGCCAAAAGAAUGAGGCCAAACCUCAGUGACGAGAGACCCGGAUGACGGCUUGGCUGGGCCUGGGCUGCCUGUGAAUCUGGGGGGGACGGGGGGUGGGACGGGACAUAGUGGUCCCCUGAUGGUGAAUCCAUGGGCUGAGUUAAGCCGCUGGCCCUCCCCAGCGUGGAUGGGCCCCAUGCCACCCGUUGAGCGCUAGAGUAGAAAAAGAAAGGUGGAGGAAAGAGGAAGUCGCUCUCUGUUUGAGCUGAGACGUCCGUCUUCUGCCCUCGGCCUUCGCAGCUGCCGGUUCUCCCAUCUUUGGUCUUGGACCGAGUCCGCCACCCGCUCUCCUGGGUCUCCAGCUCGAUGGGUGGCACUUCGCAGCCUCCAUCACCCCAUGAGAGAAGGUGACGGGGGUGGAAGACGAUGGGCAGGAGGUUUUCCAAGAUGACGUGGGUGGCGUCUGAGGUCACGUGAAUAAAGUCAGGGCUGCGGCCUGGAACGGACGCUCCCCAAGACUCUCCAGAAGGAAUCAGCCCUGCUGACCCCCUGGUUUCAGACUUCCAGUCUCUAGAAGCUUGAGCAAAUCCAUUGCUGUUGCCUUAAGACCCGCAGUCUAUGGGACGUUGUGGUGGCAGCCGCGGGAGACCGGUCCGAGGAGGAUCAGACGCCUUCUAAUCGUCUUUCCCCGAAAGCAAUUGUGAGUCUGUGCUGUUAGUGAUAACGUCUCUGCACCCACCUGUUUCUCUUUCCCAUCACGGUGCCUUCGGUGCGGGCGGGUGGGGAGACACGCGAGAGUCAGGGGCAGGAACGAGGAAGGCACGGCACGCUCGUUCUGGGUCCUUCUGCUGCACGGUUGGUCUGCCGUCUGUCAAUCAAGUUUCCGAGUGGCAGGCGACGGAAUAGCCUUCUGAAUCGUUGUGCAAAAGGACAAGGAAUUUGUUCAAAGAACCUUGGACCCUCGAGGAAUCGCGCAAACGUUCUGGUGCGGGGCACAAGCAUCAGAAGCGUUCAGACUCUUAUAGGAUCCCCUCGCCCGGGAGAUGGGCAGGAGCUGAGAUUUGCUUCUCACCGACAGCUUAUGGCAAAGGUGGUGGGGUGUCACCUCCGUGACCUCACUACGUAGGACUCAGUUUGGUUAGCAGACGCCCUCCGGUCUUCCUCUCCCUCUGGGUCGCUGGCUUGGACGAGGCAGCUCCCGUGAGGCAAGAGGCCGUGUUGCAGGAACCCACACGACACAGAAUAACGGGUGACCCCCAGGAGCUGAGGGCUAGUUCCAGCCAGAAGCUGCACCCUCGGUCCUGCACCCGCAAGGAAGUGAAUUCCCCCGACAACCUCAAGAAGUUGGAAGCCGAUGGCAGAGUGACCUUGCCUGGAGUACUCAAUGAACGUCUUCAUGAUGGCCCUAAAGUCAUCAGGAUUUGUAAAAGCAUCAUGGAGCCAAACUCCCACUCAUGACUGGGCCGUACAAUCUCUUUUUCACUAUUUCAGUUCAAAUGGGAGGCUCCUCGGGUCUCCUGGGACAGGCGAAUCUGUUUCAACCAGUUGACGACUUUAAAAAUUCAUAUAAGCAAAGGGGACUUCCACUCAGUGGAAAUGAAAACCACGCCCAUAUAUGUCUUUGUUUUCUAACCACAGAUUAGAUCAAAAAAACACAUGCAGUCAAGCCAGGAUGAGUCAUUCGGCAUCUGGAAGACACUUGCACUCG
rnacentral:lncRNA from 1 species